rnacentral:misc_RNA from 1 species
GAUGAAGAACGCAGCGAAAUGCGAUACGUAAUGUGAAUUGCAAAUUCAGUGAAUCAUCGAGUCUUUGAACGCACAUUGCGCCCCCUGGUAUUCCGGGGGACAUGCCUGUCCGAGCGUCAUUGCUGCCCUCAAGCACGGCUUGUGUGUUGGGCCCCGUCCUCCGAUCCCGGGGGACGGGCCCGAAAGGCAGCGGCGGCACCGCGUCCGGUCCUCGAGCGUAUGGGGCUUUGUCACCCGCUCUGUAGGCCCGGCCGGCGCUUGCCGAUCAACCCAAAUUUUUUAUCCAGGUUGACCUCGGAUCAGGUAGGGAUACCCGCUGAACUUAAGCAUAUCAAUAAGCGGAGGA